UUGGCGCCGAAAAAGUGAAGGCAUUGUAAUGUAAUAUAUGUCGACAUCAGCCAAUUGGCGCCAAAUUAAUCUUGAACUGAGGCAAGUUAAUGGACUCAGUUGAGCUAACAGGGCCGCAAAGACUCUAGUUUUAUCUUUGUACGGUAGUAAGCAGCUCACACAAA
rfam:Drosophila ananassae strain TSC#14024-0371.13 Ctg01_18405, whole genome shotgun sequence.